GUGCCUGUGAACCAAGUAUUCCGGCCUUUCGAGCCGGAGACGCGGGUCCGAAUCCCGCCCGGAGCA
rnacentral:tRNA from 1 species